rnacentral:rRNA from 1 species
GAUGAACGCUGGCGGCGUGCUUAACACAUGCAAGUCGAACGGUGAAGCAGGAGCUUGCUCUUGUGGAUCAGUGGCGAACGGGUGAGUAACACGUGAGCGACCUGCCCCUGACUCUGGGAUAAGCGCUGGAAACGGCGUCUAAUACUGGAUAUGUGAUGUGACCGCAUGGUCUGCAUCUGGAAAGAAUUUCUGUUGGGGAUGGGCUCGCGGCCUAUCAGCUUGUUGGUGAGGUAAUGGCUCACCAAGGCGUCGACGGGUAGCCGGCCUGAGAGGGUGACCGGCCACACUGGGACUGGGACACGGCCCAGACUCCUACGGGAGGCAGCAGUGGGGAAUAUUGCACAAUGGGCGGAAGCCUGAUGCAGCAACGCCGCGUGAGGGAUGACGGCCUUCGGGUUGUAAACCUCUUUUAGCAGGGAAGAAGCGAAAGUGACGGUACCUGCAGAAAAAGCACCGGCUAACUACGUGCCAGCCGCCGCCGUAA